GACCACGAAAGCCAAGAGAUAUCAAGAACAAAAACUGGUGUGUGUAGAGCAAAGCAGACGCUGAAACUAGGGUUUUCGACAGCGAGAGAUGACUAGUUUAAGGAGCACAGAGCAUGACAAAUAUGCUACGAUUAACUUUGAAGAGACUGAAUUGCGUCUAGGGUUACCUGGAGGCAAUGCAGUUGAAGGUGAGGUUGCUAAGGGUAAUGGGAAGAGAGGAUUCUCAGAGACUCUAGUGGAUUUGAAGCUUAAUCU
rnacentral:misc_RNA from 1 species